UGUUCAACUCUCUGGGUUAGUCACUCAAAACAACCAUCUUGUCUUGGUAAUUCUAAGCAAAAUCAUCAGACAUAUCAAUUUACACACAAAACCUACAACAACAUAAUUAUCUCAUUAGCGUAUACAGUAGCAUACAUUUGUUCUUAGGUACCAAAUAAUCUUGUUUGUUACACAUAAGAGCAAAAAGGAAAGAUAGGAAUAUGUGUUAGAAUCAUUACAAAAAAACAACUCACAAUUCCUCCAAGUGAAAUUGAUGACUGUAUGCCUUUUUUUUUGUUUUGCAUGAGAAAGAUUUCCACAUUGUUGCCGUACCUGUUACCAUUACGAUACCACGUACUGUGUUGUCGUGUUCUUUUAUUGACAACGUAUUGAACAAUGUAGCACUGUACUGUUACUGUGUAUAUGGUGCACGCUGUUACAGAUGCAUCUCUGCAUAAAGGACAUGUGUAAGGUAAUCUGUCACUCUGGCAAAAAGCAAUUGAAGCAAUUGAAAGUAAGAUACUUUGUUGGGUUGUAUAAGGCUAUAGAGACAGAGGGCUACAAAAAAAUCAGCCCAUAUGUAUCCACCAUAAAUGCCUGUAUUUCAGAUGUUGUGAAAUAAACAAUUCAGGGCAUAUUUAUAUACUGUGGUAGGCCUUUAGCUUUUUCUCAAAGCACAUACUUUAUUCCUCCAGCCCAUCUAUAAUCAUUUGAUGAAGUCUUAGAUAAAGCUGGCUACAAGAAAUUCUGAGCCCCAUAAAGGUUGGGAACUGUAUACAUUAUGGAAGGGCAACCGUGAGGAGACCGAGGAUUGUGGGUUGUUCUUAUGCGAUGGUCAUUCCAGGGAGUUACAACUGCAUCAAGCUCCUCCUAUACAACCGACCGAAAAAGAGUGAAAACGUUUGUUAGAAAGUAAUUUGUGUGCCGUAUUUGUCAUAGUUCUGUGUUGACAAGCAAUAGAUAUUUAGGAUUCUGUACCUGUAUUGUAUUUUGGAAGCAAAACUGGAUCAGUGAUUUAUCAAUGAAGCUGUCAACAAAAAAGCCAUCUUCUCUCAGCUGGUCGAAAUGGUCCAUCUAAAACUGGGUGCAUUCUGUCCUCAAGGUGCACCACCAACAUUCAGUCCGUUGAUUGCCAGUACUUGGACCUAAAGUGACACACUGUAUACCAUUCUCAUCCUCAAUGUUGGGCCGAAACCUUUGCAUUACUGCAAAAUGGGUAUUCUCAGCACCAUGAUCUAACCAGACUUUUUGUGUACAUCCAUUGUUUUUGGUCACAGCAUCUAUAAAAUAACCUACAAUAAUACGAGGGUCAUUGUUGGUUUUGUAUGCUUCUAGCCAUAUCAUUUUCCUUGAGAAGCCAUCUAUGUAACCACUGAUACAUAUGCCAUAAGGCUUUAAUUUGUCAUACCCAUCUACAUGCCAUACAUAGUUUGGCCCAUGACUGAUAUACAUGCGCCGUCUCAAACGGUUGCGAGCACGCAGAUCUACCCCAUUCAUGUCCAUCAGUCGCAUCAGUUGACGCACAGUUUCUCUGUCAGUAAUUAUCCCGGCCAUCCAACAUUUCUGGUGCAUCCAUCUGUAGCCGUGCUGUUUGCCGGACAUUUGUAGUUGUUGGUCAAUAAAGAAUGCCACCUUCA